rnacentral:tRNA from 1 species
AAAGAACUAGUUAAAACAUAACCCCAGAAUGUCAGACCGGAAUUAUUAGUAUUCAACCUAAUGUUCUUUA